rnacentral:rRNA from 1 species
UACGUAGGUGGCAAGCGUUUGUCCGGAAUUAUUGGGCGUAAAGCGCGCGCAGGCGGUCUCUUAAGUCUGAUGUGAAAGCCCACGGCUCAACCGUGGAUGGUCAUUGGAAACUGGGGGACUUGAGUACAGAAGAGGAGACUGGAAUUUACGGUGUAGCGGUGAAAUGCGUAGAUAUCGUAAGGAAGACCAGUGGCGAAGGCGGGUCUCUGGACAGUUCCUGACGCUGAGGCACGAAGGCCAGGGGAGCAAACGGG